rnacentral:rRNA from 1 species
AAGCUCGUAGUUGAAUUUCGGGAUCAAAUUGUCGGUCGUGCCUCGGUACGUACUGGCGUUAUUGGUUCCUCCCUUCUGAAGAACCACGAUGUCAUUAAUUUGGUGUCGCGGGGAAUCAGGACUGUUACUUUGAAAAAAUUAGAGUGUUUAAAGCAGGCUCGCGCUUGAAUACAUUAGCAUGGAAUAAUGAAAUAGGACGUUUGAUUCUAUUUUGUUGGUUUCUAGGAUCGACGUAAUGAUUAAUAGGGAUAGUUGGGGGCAUUAGUAUUCAAUUGUCAGAGGUGAAAUUCUUGGAUUUAUUGAAGACUAACUACUGCGAAAGCAUUUGCCAAGGAUGUUUUCAUUAAUCAAGAACGAAAGUUAGGGGAUCGAAGACGAUCAGAUACCGACGUAGUCUUAACCAUAAACUAUGCCGACUAGGGAUCGGAUGAUGUUAAUUUUUUAAUGACUCAUUCGGCGCCUUACGGGGAACCAAAGUGUUUGGGUUCCGGGGGGAGUAUGGUCGCAAGGCUGAAACUUAAAGGAAUUGACGGAAGGGCACCACCAGGCGUGGAGCCUGCGGCUUAAUUUGACUCAACACGGGGAAACUUACCAGGUCCAGACAUAGCAAGGAUUGACAGACUGAGAGCUCUUUCUUGAUUCUAUGGGUG